GAUGAAGAACGCAGCGAAAUGCGAUAAGUAAUGUGAAUUGCAGAAUUCAGUGAAUCAUCGAAUCUUUGAACGCACAUUGCGCCCCUUGGUAUUCCGAGGGGCAUGCCUGUUCGAGCGUCAUUAUAACCCCUCAAGCUCGGCUUGGUGUUGGGGCCUGCUGCACUGGCAGCCCUUAAAAUCAGUGGCGGCGCCAUCUGGCUCUAAGCGUAGUAAUUCUUCUCGCUAUGGAGUCCUGGUGGAUGCUUGCCAUCAACCCCCAAUUUUUCUAUGGUUGACCUCGGAUCAGGUAGGGAUACCCGCUGAACUUAAGCAUAUCAAUAAGCGGAGGA
rnacentral:misc_RNA from 1 species